UACGUAGGGUGCAAGCGUUGUCCGGAAUUAUUGGGCGUAAAGAGCUCGUAGGCGGUUCGUCGCGUCGGCUGUGAAAUCCCGAGGCUCAACCUCGGGUCUGCAGUCGAUACGGGCGGACUGGAGUUCGGCAGGGGAGACUGGAAUUCCUGGUGUAGCGGUGAAAUGCGCAGAUAUCAGGAGGAACACCGGUGGCGAAGGCGGCUCUCUGGGACGGUACUGACGCUGAGACGCGAAAGCGUGGGGAGCGAACAGG
rnacentral:rRNA from 1 species